ACGCGGCGUUUCCUCGAUUGGCUUUACAAGCGUCGAUUUCUUCAAUGUCAUCCUCAUGCUUCUCUUCUCACAGUUGUGUGAGGAAGACAAAGAAAACACGAAUUGAGGAUGAUAGAUGUAUUUUCUGCAAGGAAGAGCCGGAGACUUUGGGGCACGUCUUUUUUAGCUGUAGAAUCCCGGGUGGUAUAUGGUAUUACUGUUGUGCUCAAUGGAAUUUAUCCAUGUGCUUGCCUAAGGAUCCGAUGACAUGCUUCCUCUCUUGGCUGGGCACUCCUCUUCACAAAGCCAAUAAAAAGGUUUUGUGCCGGAUUGGGAGCUUGAGAAGAAAAUUUGAUUUGGCGAUUAAGAUUGUGGAUAAGAUGUUGGCACCCAAAUUCUUCCUUUCCAACAGAGAACUUAG